UACGUAGGGGGCAAGCGUUGUCCGGAUUUAUUGGGCGUAAAGAGCGUGUAGGCGGCCAGGUAGGUCUGGUGUGAAAACUCGAGGCUUAACCUCGAGAUGUCAUCGGAAACCAUCUGGCUAGAGUCCGGAAGAGGAGAGUGGAAUUCCUGGUGUAGCGGUGAAAUGCGCAGAUAUCAGGAAGAACACCAAUGGUGAAAGCAGCUCUCUGGGACGGUACUGACGCUGAGACGCGAAAGCGUGGGGAGCGAACAGG
rnacentral:rRNA from 1 species